rnacentral:rRNA from 1 species
AGCGAACGCUGGCGGCAGGCUUAACACAUGCAAGUCGAGCGGGCCCUUCGGGGUCAGCGGCAGACGGGUGAGUAACACGUGGGAACGUACCCUUUGGUUCGGAAUAACGCUGGGGAAACUAGCGCUAAUACGGGAAACCCCCUUUUGGGGAAAGGCUUGCUGCCGAAGGAUCGCCUCGCGUCUGAUUAGCUAGUUGGUGGGGUAAUGGCCUACCAAGGCGACGAUCAGUAGCUGGUCUGAGAGGAUGAUCAGCCACACUGGGACUGAGACACGGCCCAGACUCCUACGGGAGGCAGCAGUGGGGAAUAUUGGACAAUGGGCGCAAGCCUGAUCCAGCCAUGCCGCGUGAGUGAUGAAGGCCUUAGGGUUGUAAAGCUCUUUUGUCCGGGACGAUAAUGACGGUACCGGAAGAAUAAGCCCCGGCUAACUUCGUG